GUCGACGGCAGCACGGGAGCAAUCCUGGUGGCGAGUGGCGAACGGGUGAGUAAUGUAUCGGAACGUACCUUUCAGUGGGGGAUAACGUAGCGAAAGUUACGCUAAUACCGCAUAUUCUGUGAGCAGGAAAGCAGGGGAUCGCAAGACCUUGCGCUGAUUGAGCGGCCGAUAUCAGAUUAGCUAGUUGGUGAGGUAAAGGCUCACCAAGGCGACGAUCUGUAGCGGGUCUGAGAGGAUGAUCCGCCACACUGGAACUGAGACACGGUCCAGACUCCUACGGGAGGCAGCAGUGGGGAAUUUUGGACAAUGGGGGCAACCCUGAUCCAGCCAUGCCGCGUGAGUGAAGAAGGCCUUCGGGUUGUAAAGCUCUUUCAGCCGGGAAGAAAUCACAUGGGUUAAUACCCUGUGUGGAUGACGGUACCGGAAUAAGAAGCACCGGCUAACUACGUGCCAGCAGCCGCGGUAAUACGUAGGGUGCGAGCGUUAAUCGGAAUUACUGGGCGUAAAGCGUGCGCAGGCGGUUUGUUAAGAUAGGCGUGAAAUCCCCGGGCUCAACCUGGGAACUGCGUUUAUGACUGGCAGGCUAGAGUAUGGCAGAGGGGGGUGGAAUUCCACGUGUAGCAGUGAAAUGCGUAGAGAUGUGGAGGAACACCGAUGGCGAAGGCAGCCCCCUGGGCCAAUACUGACGCUCAUGCACGAAAGCGUGGGUAGCAAACAGGAUUAGAUACCCUGGUAGUCCACGCCCUAAACGAUGUCAACUAGGUGUUGGGUGGGUAAAACCAUUUAGUACCGGAGCUAACGCGUGAAGUUGACCGCCUGGGGAGUACGGCC
rnacentral:rRNA from 1 species